rnacentral:rRNA from 1 species
UGCGGAGAGCACUGCUAUCGGAGUCCGACUAAGCCAUGCAAGUCAGAUAGCACGCAAGUGCUAUCGGCGACCAGCUCAGUAAAACAUAGACAACCUACCCACAAGUACGGGAUAACCUCGGGAAACUGAGGGUAAUCCCGUAUAGGUGUGGUGUCCUGGAAUGGCCCACACUAAAAGCGAAAGCGCUUGUGGAUGGGUCUAUGGCGGAUCAGGCAGAUGGCGGUGUAACAGACCACCAUACCUAUGACCCGUACCCGCCAUGGGAGUGGAAGCGGGGAGAUGGACACUGAGACAAGGGUCCAGGCCCCACGGGGCGCAGCAGGCGCGAAACCUUCCCGAUGCGCGAAAGCGUGAGGGGGGGACUCCGAGUUCCUCCAUUUGGAGGAUUUUGUGGUGUGUAAGAAGCACCACGAAUAAGGGCCGGGCAAUGCCAGUGCCAGCCGCCGCGGUAAUACUGGAGGCCCGAGUGGUGCUCACUAUUAUUGGGCUUAAAGCGUCCGUAGCCGGUCUUCCAAGUCUCCCGUGAAAUCCUAUCGCUUAACGAUAGGGCGUGCGGGAGAUACUGGAAGGCUAGGGGAUGGGAGAGGCUGGAGGUAUUCUGGGGGUAGGGGCGAAAUCCGAUAAUCCCCGGAAGACCAUCAGGGCGAAGGCGUUCGGCUAGAACAUGCCCGACGGUGAGGGACGAAAGCUGGGGGAGCAAACCGGAUUAGAUACCCGGGUAGUCCCAGCCGUAAACGAUGUGGACUGGGUAUUGCAGGAGCUUAGGGCUCCUGCAGUGCCGAAGGAAAACCGUUAAGUCCACCGCCUGGGGAGUACGGUCGCAAGGCUGAAACUUAAAGGAAUUGGCGGAGGAGCACCACAAGGGGUGAGGUCUGCGGUUUA